ensembl:lncRNA
CCUGCCCCCUCCCUGUUAAUUACUUCCUGGCGUGCCAAGUCCAUUAGCCCCCCCACACGUGCACCCCAGAGGCUGAGCACCAGGAGAUGGAUGACUGCAGGGGGACAGUGGAAUGCGCCCUGAGGACCCCUGGGGGCGCUGAGACCAGGACAGCCACCUACAGCCCUGUGGCUCAGAUGUCUGGACUCCUCGGGCCUGGCGCAGGCUGCUCUCCACUCUUACUGUUCUCUCUCAGGGAAUCUGUUGUGGCUGGAAUGGGAGGCUCAGAAAGGGUGCUGGCCCCUCAGGAGCACUUAGCAUUGCAGAAGAGCCCGACUCCCUGCUCAGCAAGCUGCCGCCCGCUCCUGCUCUGGAGAGAAGGAAUCCAUGGUGCAGAAGCCCAUGGGCUCCCCGGGGGCCCCAGCACUGGGGUGGGAUCUCUAAGAAUCUGGGGCCAAACUUUCCCCGAGGCCCUCAGCCUUUUCUGCCUCCUCCCCGCCCUGUCUCUUGGGGCUGGCUUCCCAGUAGAAGGGCAGCGAAUCUGCUCACCUUCUGGAAACAAGGGGCCCGCAGGGUGCUGGGCAGCCUGGGGGAGGGCAUCACACCCUGGGCCCCUGAGAGGGCCCAGCUGGACGGAGCCUGCCUUGCCAGGUUCCGGAAGUGGCCUUGGACAGGCUGCCCAGUGGGGACAGGAGAGAGGGCCAUUCCCUGGAGAAGCCAGGACCCAGGGAUCCCGACCUUCAGCCUGCUGCAAGACUCCUCUGCCAGGCAUCCGGGCACAGGGUGGGGGGCGAGGUGGCUCAACAGCACUGCAGUUCCUCUCUGUCUCCCAGCCCUCGCCAGCUUUGAUGGGCUCCAGUGCCCGGAUGGUGUGAGCAGGGAGCAGGGGUUCUGGGGUGAUGGGACGAGGAGUCAGGAGCCGGGAGAGGCACACAGACAGAGGCGAGGAAGGCCAGAGGGAGGAGGGCCCACCCAGCAGGCCAGGGCCUAAGGCCGCAGGGUCCGAAAGGCCAGGGAGCACAGAAGCUGCCCACAGGCACCUGCUUUCCCAGCUGGCUGGACAGGAAGCCCUGGCCCCCACCUUCCUUUCCUUGGAGACCAUGGUGUCCCUGCUGGGGAGGCUUCUCCACACCGGAGCCUGCUUCCACGGCUUACUAGCUGUGUGUCCCUCGGUGUCCGCCCUGCAAAGUGGGGAUGGCAGGUAGCACCCCCACGUCACCCACGGUGCUGGGAUGUGUCCGGUGACCUCCUCACCCUUCUCCGGCUGCUCCUCCCCUCCUAGCCUGACUCCUCUCUAGCCUGCCACAGGCCUUGGCUUCCCCAGCCCAGGGCCGGCCCUGGUAUUUGGGGUGGGAUAGGCCAUACGUUCUGGGGGGUGGUGCGCACUGGUUCCAGGCAGCCCCUGGGGAGUAGGCAGGGAGCCCCACAGGGUGCUUCUGGGUCACAGAUCCUCCAGGACCCUGGUCAGGCCUCCAGGGUAUGGACCCAGGAUCUCGGCAGCCUCCACUCCCAAGAGUGCCAGGAAGCCUGUCCUCCCCCCUCAUGCUGCUUCCACCUGGAUGGGAAGGGGUUACUCAGCUCCAGGGCUGCCCACUGCAGGCCGCAGCUGCCUGGGGCCUGUGGUCAGGGCUAAUGUAGGCAGGAGUUGGAGGACAAGAGGGGAUGAAGUUAUUAGCAUUCUCAUGUUUGAGGGAUAUUGAUUGUCAGGUCUUCAGGCCCCUGGGUCUCGCAACGGGGCACACGGGAGUGUUAGAGGGACACAGGAAGUGUCACAGAGGCCCCACCCCGUACCCGGGAGUGACUGGGGCUGCCCAGGUCAGCUCAAAGGGAGACACGGAGGGACGCAGCUUGGGGGGCCAGGGACCCGGGGCGGGGAGGGGCUGGGCUCGGUGCCCUGGGCCUGGGGCAGACUGGAAAGGGCUUGGUUUCGUCCCUGCACUUUGCAUAAGGUGUGAGGGUCUGUGAGUGUGUGUGUGACACAGACCUCGCAGCUGAGCCGGAGCCCGUCAAGGGGGCAACCAAAGGGGACAAGGAGGAGUCCCCAGCCUGAGGCCCACAGGACCCCGCUGAUUUCCGACCUCGCGCGGAGGCAGGCUGCGCCCAGACGGGAUUCGGGGCGAUACCGCCCCGCGUCGCAAGGGGGCGCUGGGGAGCCUGUGAGUAGACUGUUCUCACGCGAUCACGCGUUGGGUGGUGGUGACCUGGUCCCCAGGUGUCUGUGUGAUGAUUCUGUCCCUCGGUUGGGUCUGCACAUUCCUGUCCCCAGCCUGAAACGUGAGGGUCUGGCUCUGUAGUUUAGGCUGACCUCAAACCCUCCAGCCUCCUGCCUCAGCCUCCUGAGUGCUGGGACUUCAGACACACGCAGCACAACCAGCUCCAGCGGGGCGUUCCUGCUCCUCAGGGCCAAGGCGCAGGCUGUGUCGGGGCGUCCGCAGCCUGAGCCCUGGAGUCAGCAGACCUGCUCACUGCACGGACGCCUGCUCAACGCGAGUGAACGGGGACAAGGACGGAC